AUCUGCAGGGCAAUUCAGUGAAGGGGAGCUGAAUGACGGGCUAUAUUGAUCAACAUGUGGCUGCAAAUAAGGGUGCCUCAAAAGUUCUGAUGCCUAAGCAAGAUUUUCUGCAACGCUCCGUUUGCCGCGCUAGUCUGAUCUUCUUCAGCACAUACCUGAAUUUUUUGAAAAGAUCACCAAAAAUGAAAAAAAGAAAACACACAAAUGUAUGUUA